AACGAACGCUGGCGGCGUGCUUAACACAUGCAAGUCGAACGCGAAAAGGGGUAACCCUCGGUAGCGUGGCAGACGGGUGAGUAACACGUGGGUAACCUGCCCGGAGGUGGGGGAUAACCCUUCGAAAGGAGGGCUAAUACCGCAUGACGCCCCGGGAUCUGCGGAUCCUGGGAACAAAGCUAGCCUCUGUUUACAAGCUAGCGCCACCGGAGGGGCCCGCGUCCCAUUAGCUAGUUGGUGAGGUAAUGGCNCACCAAGGCGACGAUGGGUAGCCGGCCUGAGAGGGCGACCGGCCACACUGGAACUGAGACACGGUCCAGACUCCUACGGGAGGCAGCAGUGAGGAAUCUUGCGCAAUGGGCGAAAGCCUGACGCAGCGACGCCGCGUGGAGGAUGAAGGUCUUCGGAUCGUAAACUCCUGUCGAGCGGGACGAAGCUUGGGGGUGAAUAGCCUUUCAAGUUGACGGUACCGCGUGGAGGAAG
rnacentral:rRNA from 1 species